rnacentral:rRNA from 1 species
AACGAACGCUGGCGGCAUGCCUAACACAUGCAAGUCGAACGAAGGCUUCGGCCUUAGUGGCGCACGGGUGAGUAACGCGUGGGAAACUGCCUAUUGGUGGGGAAUAACGACGGGAAACUGUCGCUAAUACCGCAUAAGCCCUUCGGGGGAAAGAUUUAUCGCCGAUAGAUGCGCCCGCGUCCGAUUAGCUAGUUGGUGAGAUAAUGGCUCACCAAGGCGACGAUCGGUAGCUGGUCUGAGAGGAUGAUCAGCCACACUGGGACUGAGACACGGCCCAGACUCCUACGGGAGGCAGCAGUGGGGAAUAUUGGACAAUGGGCGAAAGCUUGAUCCAGCAAUGCCGCGUGAGUGAUGAAGGCCUUAGGGUUGUAAAGCUCUUUCGGGUGGGACGAUGAUGACGGUACCACCAGAAGAAGCCCCGGCUAACUUCGUGCCAGCCGCCGCCGUAA